rnacentral:rRNA from 1 species
UACAGAGGGUGCAAGCGUUAAUCGGAAUUACUGGGCGUAAAGCGCGCGUAGGUGGUUUGUUAAGUUGGAUGUGAAAUCCCCGGGCUCAACCUGGGAACUGCAUCCAAAACUGGCAAGCUAGAGUAUGGUAGAGGGUGGUGGAAUUUCCUGUGUAGCGGUGAAAUGCGUAGAUAUAGGAAGGAACACCAGUGGUGAAGGCGACCACCUGGACUGAUACUGACACUGAGGUGCGAAGCGUGGGGAGCAAACAGG